ACGUAGGAGGCAAGCGUUAUCCGGAGUUACUGGGCGUAAAGGGCGUGCAGGCGGUUGGCUAAGUUCGUUGUGAAAGCGCCCAGGCUUAACCGGGCGAGGACAAUGAAGACUGGUCAGCUAGAGGACGGUAGAGGGGUGUGGAAUUCCGGGUGUAGUGGUGAAAUGCGUAGAGAUCCGGAGGAACACCAGAGGCGAAGGCGACACCCUGGGCGACGACUGACACUGAGGGACGAAAGCGUGGGGAGCGAACAG
rnacentral:rRNA from 1 species